rnacentral:rRNA from 1 species
GAGGAAAGCGGGGGGCGUGCUUAACACAUGCAAGUCGAACGGAAAGGCCCUGCUUUUGUGGGGUGCUCGAGUGGCGAACGGGUGAGUAACACGUGAGUAACCUGCCCUUGACUUUGGGAUAACUUCAGGAAACUGGGGCUAAUACCGGAUAGGAGCUCCUGCUGCAUGGUGGGGGUUGGAAAGUUUCGGCGGUUGGGGAUGGACUCGCGGCUUAUCAGCUUGUUGGUGGGGUAGUGGCUUACCAAGGCUUUGACGGGUAGCCGGCCUGAGAGGGUGACCGGCCACAUUGGGACUGAGAUACGGCCCAGACUGCUACGGGAGGCAGCAGUGGGGAAUAUUGCACAAUGGGCGGAAGCCUGAUGCAGCAACGCCGCGUGCGGGAUGACGGCCUUCGGGUUGUAAACCGCUUUCGCCUGUGACGAAGCGUGAGUGACGGUAAUGGGUAAAGAAGCACCGGCUAACUACGUG